rnacentral:rRNA from 1 species
GUUAAAAAGCUCGUAGUUGGAUUUCUGGUGGCGAGAGUCCAUACGCCCGCGCGUUUUGGAUGCUCUCCACCAUCCUUCUGUUAACUAGGAUUGGACUUCACUGGCUGUCCUAGAGCCCAGAUAUUUUACCUUGAGAAAAUUAGAGUGUUUCAGGCAGGCUUGCGCCCGGAUACAUUAGCAUGGAAUAAUGGAAUAGGACUUUUACCUCUUCUGUUGGUCUAAGGGGUCGAAGUAAUGAUUAAUAGGGAUAGUUGGGGGCAUUAGUACUUAACUGUCAGAGGUGAAAUUCUUGGAUUUGUUAAAGACUAACUUAUGCGAAAGCAUUUGCCAAGGAUGUUUUCAUUAAUCAAGAACGAAAGUUAGGGGAUC